rnacentral:lncRNA from 1 species
CCAAAGACCACUGAAUCUGAUCAUCAGGAAACCUGUUGCCCCUGUAGUGGGAGAAGCUGGAUUGACACCCUUGAAUCCUGCUAUCCUGUGAACCUGUGGCCUCUUGGCCUUAACACAUCUCAAGCCUGUUGGCUGCUGCUCAGCUCAGGAUGGAGGUGCUCAGAAACACCAGUGCUUCUCUCCUGCAUGCGGUACCCAAACAUGUGUACCCUCUCUGAGGCUUUCAAACAGAGUCUCAGACAAAACUUCAUCUGGGUGAGGAAGAAUCUGAACCUGUUCUUCUUGUGUCUCAUGUGAAUGCACUGCACCCUGCAAGGCUGCUGCUGACACGAGGAGGGCAUGUGCUUACCUAUACCUGUGCAAGGAAAUACCUUCCCCAUCUUGCUUGCUGAUCCAUGCCAAGUUCAGAACUUACCAGAGUGAGACCCUGAAUUCAGGAUAGCUC